rnacentral:rRNA from 1 species
AUUGAACGCUGGCGGCAGGCUUAACACAUGCAAGCCGAGCGGUUUGAUUAGCUUGCUAAUCAGAUAGCGGCGAACGGGUGAGUAAUGCCUAGGAAUCUACCGAUUAAUGGGGGACAACGUUUCGAAAGGAACGCUAAUACCGCAUACGCUACGGGGGAAAGCAGGGGAUCUUCGGACCUUGCGUUAAUAGAUGAGCCUAGGUCGGAUUAGCUAGUUGGUGAGGUAAAGGCUCACCAAGAAAAACGAACCGUAACUGGUCUGAGAGGAUGAUCAGUCACACUGGAACUGAGACACGGUCCAGACUCUACGGGAGGACAGACAWHAUGGGAAUAUUGGACAAUGGGCGAAAGCCUGAUCCAGCCAUGCCGCGUGUGUGAAGAAGGUCUUCGGAUUGUAAAGCACUUUAAGUUGGGAGGAAGGGUAGUAACUUAAUACGUUGCUAUUUUGWCGUUACCGACAGAAUAAGCACCGGCUAYACUUCGUGC